CACGUAGGGGACGAGCGUUGUCCGGAAUCAUUGGGCGUAAAGAGCGUGUAGGCGGUCCGGUAAGUCCGCUGUGAAAGUCGAGGGCUCAACCCUCGAAUGCCGGUGGAUACUGUCGGGCUUGAGUACGGGAGAGGCGAGUGGAAUUCCUGGUGUAGCGGUGAAAUGCGCAGAUAUCAGGAGGAACACCGAUUGCGAAGGCAGCUCGCUGGAACGUUACUGACGCUGAGACGCGAAAGCGUGGGGAGCAAACAGG
rnacentral:rRNA from 1 species